GGAGCCUCUCUGUGGGAUAAUUUACGUUCCGUGUUCAAUCUUGAAGUCAUUGUGAAAUGUCAGAAAUUAGAACAUUCCGGGGGUGAACACAAAAUUCCUUUCCCGUUCCUCUGUUCAUGUCUCUGUAUGGUGGUUGUUACUUCCUGCCCUCCCGGACGUGAAGACUCUAUGGUACUUUCCCUAUACUCUGUUUAGUGACACUAAAUUCCUUCCUGAACCUCUAGGUAUGGUGUGGUCGGACGUGAAGCGUCUAUGGUACGAGGUCUUCCUGGAUGAGGAAUCAGCUGAGCUUCGUCAUGAACUCCCUCUACCUGUCCACCUUCGCCCUCAAGAUAGUGUCCCACAGCAAGUUUAAGAACGUGGGUGGAGGACACAGAGCGAGGAAGAAUAAGGAUGCCUUCCACCCCAUCCUAACGUCCUGAGUUACCUAUGACUCUUCUUCAUGUACACCAACUCCAUACUAGGACCACUGCAGCAGAACUCUCCUGUGGAUUGUCAGGGGCCUGCUAGGCUUCAGAACCUCCAAGUACGCCAUGUUCUACCCACGGAGCUAGGACUGAUCGGGUCUCAACCUAACCUCAAAUUCAACCCAACCAUGCUCUACCCCAGCAGUUAUGCAUGAACCACCCCUGACUCCAACCGAACCUCAACCAACCAGCUAAGACUGUUACAKAUUGGAUGACUUGAGACUUGAUAGAAAAUAAAAUAACUUCAGACUUGAUAUAAAAUAAAAUAAUGGACCCUCAAGUCUCGGGACUCAACUUUGACUUGAGACUGGUGACUUGAAAUUAUCCUGCCAGGUUUUGUAACGUUUUGUCACGCAUUUUGUGGCACGGUCUCUGUGGAUUACUCUCCAUGCAGCCAGAGACAGUAUCGCAUUUGUCUAGACCGGGCCCUUGUCUAGACCGGGCACUUGUCUAGACCGGGCACUUGUCUAGA